AGAGUUUGAUCCUGGCUCAGAACGAACGCUGGCGGCAGGCUUAACACAUGCAAGUCGAGCGGGCGCUUUCGGGCGUCAGCGGCGGACGGGUUAGUAACGCGUGGGAACGUGCCCUUUGCUCUGGAAUAGCCCUGGGAAACCGGGGGUAAUACCGGAUGUGCCCUGAGGGGGAAAGGCUUCGGCCGGCAAGGGAUCGGCCCGCGUCUGAUUAGGUAGUUGGUGCGGUAACGGCGCACCAAGCCGACGAUCGGUAGCUGGUUUGAGAGGAUGAUCAGCAACACUGGGACUGAGACACGGCCCAGACUCCUACGGGAGGCAGCAGUGGGGAAUCUUAGACAAUGGGCGAAAGCCUGAUCUAGCCAUGCCGCGUGGGUGAUGAAGGCCUUAGGGUCGUAAAGCCUUUCGCCGGGGAAGAUAAUGACGGUACCCGGUAAAGAAACCCCGGCUAACCCGUGCCAGCAGCCGCGGUAAUACGGAGGGGGUUAGCGUUGUUCGGAAUGACUGGGCGUAAAGCGCGCGUAGGCGGAUCGCAAAGUUGGGGGUGAAAGCCCAGGGCUCAACCCUGGAAUUGCCUUCAAGACUCGCGGUCUGGAGUUCGAGAGAGGUGGGUGGAAUUCCGAGUGUAGAGGUGAAAUUCGUAGAUAUUCGGAGGAACACCAGUGGCGAAGGCGGCCCACUGGCUCGACACUGACGCUGANNCNNGAAAGCGCGGGGAGCAAACAGGAUUAGAUACCCUAGUAGUCC
rnacentral:rRNA from 1 species